ACUCCGUGCCAGCAGCCGCGGUAAUACGGAGGGUGCAAGCGUUAAUCGGAAUUACUGGGCGUAAAGCGCACGCAGGCGGUUUGUUAAGUCAGAUGUGAAAUCCCCGGGCUCAACCUGGGAACUGCAUCUGAUACUGGCAAGCUUGAGUCUCGUAGAGGGGGGUAGAAUUCCAGGUGUAGCGGUGAAAUGCGUAGAGAUCUGGAGGAAUACCGGUGGCGAAGGCGGCCCCCUGGACGAAGACUGACGCUCAGGUGCGAAAGCGUGGGGAGCAAACAGGAUUAGAUACCCUGGUAGUCCACGCCGUAAACGAUGUCGACUUGGAGGUUGUGCCCUUGAGGCGUGGCUUCCGGAGCUAACGCGUUAAGUCGACCGCCUGGGGAGUACGGCCGCAAGGUUAAAACUCAAAUGAAUUGACGGGGGCCCGCACAAGCGGUGGAGCAUGUGGUUUAAUUCGAUGCAACGCGAAGAACCUUACCUGGUCUUGACAUCCACGGAAGUUUUCAGAGAUGAGAAUGUGCCUUCGGGAACCGUGAGACAGGUGCUGCAUGGCUGUCGUCAGCUCGUGUUGUGAAAUGUUGGGUUAAGUCCCGCAACGAGCGCAACCCUUAUCCUUUGUUGCCAGCGGUCCGGCCGGGAACUCAAAGGAGACUGCCAGUGAUAAACUGGAGGAAGGUGGGGACGACGUCAAGUCAUCAUGGCCCUUACGACCAGGGCUACACACGUGCUACAAUGGCGCAUACAAAGAGAAGCGACCUCGCGAGAGCAAGCGGACCUCAUAAAGUGCGUCGUAGUCCGGAUUGGAGUCUGCAACUCGACUCCAUGAAGUCGGAAUCGCUAGUAAUCGUGGAUCAGAAUGCCACGGUGAAUACGUUCCCGGGCCUUGUACACACCGCCCGUCACACCAUGGGAGUGGGUUGCAAAAGAAGUAGGUAGCUUAACCUUUGGGAGGGCGCUUACCACUUUGUGAUUCAUGACUGGGGUGAAGUCGUAACAAGGUAACCGUAGGGGAACCUGCGGUUGGAUCACCUCCUUACCUUAAAGAAGC
rnacentral:rRNA from 1 species